UCCUCAGCAAGUCCCCGCUGGCCGUUUCGUCGUGUCGAUUGCUGCAGCAGACCAAAUAUUCGCAAGCAGUGGAUCAUCAGUUUGUGGGUUGCGUCGCUGCAUCUGUUCCACUGCUGCCGCUGCUUUGUUUUCGACCACUACGCUCUGGGUUGCAAUCCGUUUCUACAUUUCGUGAGUCCUUUUAAGUGUUUUUCUCUUCUUGGGUUUAUCCUUGGCGGCCGUCUGUGCCACCACGCCGUUACGGAGGACGCCCUCCUUGCGGUUAAAUCCAUUGGGGGUUUCCUCGUCGCCCUGGGUGAGGCAGGAUUGGUGAUGGUGCAAGCUGGAACUGUGCCCUCGCCACCAGCUGCGGAUGAGACAUGGAGGAGCGUUGCGGUGACUGGGUGGAGAUUUCAGUGCACUGCGUGAUAUUAAGAGAUCAGUAGAAGGGCGUCACGCACAGCUUCUGGGUUCCAGAGAUGCGAAACGUCGGAAACGGACGUCCUCAUUGUAUGCACGCUGGAGCAUGAGGCGGGUGAAACUGGCAAAUUAAAACUCCACUUAAUGUGGUUGGUCUUCCUGAGGUGAAAAAAGGAACAUAAUCCUGAUCUUAUAAUUAACAAAUACCCUCGGUUACAGAAUCGGUAUGUUCGUCGAACUGGAGAAGAGCAACAGGUGAAUUUGCCAUUUUCGUGUAGACCUAGUGGGAACUUUCUCCAUUUACAUCUUUUGAUUUUGAUUCUUUUUUUCUUAUUUGUUUGUGCUUUGGUUUAAAAGUUGUAUAAUCUUCAUAGUGAUUUCUAGCGAUUCCUGCCUUGGGCACUUGCAGGGUUCAUGAUUUUGGAGGUUUACAAUGAGAGAAUGAUAGGUUAAGUAUUUUAAGGACGUAAGACUUGUACGUUGCACUUUUUAUUGUCAAGUUGCGCUUAGUUAUCAUAAUCCCUUAUAAGUUUAGAAAACGUAAAUUAAUUACACAUCUAGAGUAAUUGGAGUAGAUAAUCUCACAGUUUUGACCAUAAUAGUCAUAUCCCGUGAUCUGCAUGGACUGUGAUCAAUAAAAAUCUUUACAUGUAGUUCACACAAUUAUCUGUGCAUCUAACAAUGUUUUCAAUUUUAUAUCUUUAUACUUUUUAUAUGAAAAAUAAAAAUAGAAUAUGUCAACAAAUCAUCACUUAAGUUGGUAUACAUGAAGACAAUGUGCACAUCAUGUUGUAUCAAAUUAGGGUUCUCAAAUCAAUAACAAAGUAAGCAAAAGUACUUAGCCAUAAAUGCAAGUGUUUAGAGUUAUUUUAUCAUUUCAUUGCUCACAUGUAGUUUUUAUAUUUAUUUGGUUCAUUGGUUAGGGUUUGAAUCUUCAAGAAAAAUCAAUGUACUUAUUUUUACUACUUUGAAAGGCAA